rnacentral:rRNA from 1 species
UACGUAGGGUGCAAGCGUUAUCCGGAAUUAGUGGGCGUAAAGAGCUCGUAGGCGGUUUGUCGCGUCUGCUGUGAAAACUGGAGGCUCAACCUCCAGCCUGCAGUGGGUACGGGCAGACUAGAGUGCGGUAGGGGAGAUUGGAAUUCCUGGUGUAGCGGUGGAAUGCGCAGAUAUCAGGAGGAACACCGAUGGCGAAGGCGGGCCCAUCUGGACCAG